CAGUAGGGAAUCCGCAAUGGACGAAAGUCUGACGGAGCAACGCCGCGUGAGUGAAGAAGGCCUUCGGGUCGUAAAACUCUGUUGCCGGGGUAAGAACAAGUGCCGNUCGAACAGGGCGGCGCCUUGACGGUACCCGGCCAGAAAGCCACGGCUAACUACGUGCCAGCAGCCGCGGUAAUACGUAGGUGGCAAGCGUUGUGGCCAAUUAUUGGGCGUAAAGCGCGCGCAGGCGGCUUCUUAAGUCUGAUGUGAAAUCUUGCGGCUCAACCGCAAGCGGUCAUUGGAAACUGGGAGGCUUGAGUGCAGAAGAGGAGAGUGGAAUUCCACGUGUAGCGGUGAAAUGCGUAGAGAUGUGGAGGUUCACCAGUGGCGAAGGCGGCUCUCUGGUCUGUAACUGACGCUGAGGCGCGAAAGCGUGGGGAGCAAACAGGAUUACUUACCCUGGUAGUCCACGCCAUAAACGAUGAGUGCUAAGUGUUAGAGGGUUUCCGCCCUUUAGUGCUGCAGCUAACGCAUUAAGCACUCCGCCUGGGGAGUACGGCCGCAAGGCUGAAACUCAAAGGAAUUGACGGGGGCCCGCACAAGCGGUGGAGCAUGUGGUUUAAUUCGAAGCAACGCGAAGAACCUUACCAGGUCUUGACAUCCUCUGACCUUCCUGGAGACAGGGCCUUCCCCUUCGGGGGACAGAGUGACAGGUGGUGCAUGGUUGUCGNCAGCUCGUGUCGUGAGAUGAAGGGAAAAGUGGGGCAACGAGCGCANCCCUUGACCUUAGGUGCAGCAUUGAGUUGGGCACUCUAAGGUGACUGCCGGUGACAAACCGGAGGAAGGUGGGGAUGACGUCAAAUCAUCAUGCCCCUUACUGGGCUACACACGUGCUACA
rnacentral:rRNA from 1 species